AUUGAACGCUGGCGGCAGGCCUAACACAUGCAAGUCGAGCGAGUGGCGGACGGGUGAGUAAUGUCUGGGAAUCUGCCCGAUAGAGGGGGAUAACUACUGGAAACGGUGGCUAAUACCGCAUACUAUCGGAUGUACCCAUAUGGGAUUAGCUAGUAGGUGGGGUAAAGGCUCACCUAGGCGACGAUCUCUAGCUGGUCUGAGAGGAUGAUCAGCCACACUGGAACUGAGACACGGCCCAGACUCCUACGGGAGGCAGCAGUGGGGAAUAUUGCACAAUGGGCGCAAGCCUGAUGCAGCCAUGCCGCGUGUAUGAAGAAGGCCUUAGGGUUGUAAAGUACUUUCAGCGGGGAGGCGUUACCCGCAGAAGAAGCACCGGCUAACUCCGUGCCAGCAGCCGCGGUAAUUC
rnacentral:rRNA from 1 species